UACGUAGGGGGCGAGCGUUGUCCGGAUUUAUUGGGUUUAAAGGGUGCGUAGGCGGCCUAUUAAGUCAGUGGUGAAAUCCUGCAGCUUAACUGUAGAACAGCCAUUGAUACUGAUGGGCUUGAGUUCAGACGAGGUAGGCGGAAUUUAUGGUGUAGCGGUGAAAUGCAUAGAUACCAUAAAGAACACCGAUUGCGAAGGCAGCUUACUAGACUGACACUGACGCUGAGGCACGAAAGCGUGGGGAUCAAACAGG
rnacentral:rRNA from 1 species